ensembl:lncRNA
CGAUCCAUCAUUUAUUUCCAGAUCACCUGGUGAUCUGUAACACAGAAAGAAAAAAAAAAGAGAGAGAGAGAUUAAGGAAGGAGCCGCCGACACCGCUCCAUGCGCAAUACCUAUCGGCUGAUGUAGAAAAGAAAGCAUAAUCCACAUGUAUAUUGCCUUUAACGAAAGGUAUUUCCUUCGCCUUCCCUCCCUACAGUACCGGCAUGCUUUUGCUGAGGGCUGCGUUUGCACAGUCGCCAGUAAUUACACGCGUGUGUCCGCCGGGAGAACGAAGGUUGGGAAGGUGGGAGGUAGGACGUGAUUCCUCUUUGGAGCAAUCAGGACUGGGAAAGGUUUCAUUCCGUGCAGACGGAAACGUCCCCAUUUCCAGCAUGUUCUUCAAUGCAUGA